UACAAAGGGGGCUAGCGUUGCUCGGAAUGACUGGGCGUAAAGGGCGCGUAGGCGGCCUUCUAAGUCGAACGUGAAAUCCCCGGGCUCAACCCGGGAACUGCGUCCGAUACUGGGAGGCUUGAAUCCGGGAGAGGGAUGUGGAAUUCCAGGUGUAGCGGUGAAAUGCGUAGAUAUCUGGAGGAACACCGGUGGCGAAGGCGGCAUCCUGGACCGGUAUUGACGCUGAGGCGCGAAAGCUAGGGGAGCAAACGGGG
rnacentral:rRNA from 1 species